rnacentral:rRNA from 1 species
UAACGCGUAGGAAUCUGCCUGGUAGUGGGGGACAACAUGUGGAAACGCAUGCUAAUACCGCAUACGCCCUACGGGGGAAAGGAGGGGAUCUUCGGACCUUUCGCUAUCAGAUGAGCCUGCGUGAGAUUAGCUAGUUGGUGGGGUAAAGGCUCACCAAGGCGACGAUCUCUAGCUGGUCUGAGAGGAUGAUCAGCCACACUGGGACUGAGACACGGCCCAGACUCCUACGGGAGGCAGCAGUGGGGAAUAUUGGACAAUGGGCGCAAGCCUGAUCCAGCCAUGCCGCGUGUGUGAAGAAGGCCCUCGGGUUGUAAAGCACUUUCAGAGGUGAGGAAGGGUGCGUAGUUAAUACCUGCGUACUUUGACGUUAACCUCAGAAGAAGCACCGGCUAACUCUGUGCCAGCAGCCGCGGUAAUACAGAGGGUGCGAGCGUUAAUCGGAAUUACUGGGCGUAAAGCGCGCGUAGGCGGUUUGUUAAGUCGGAUGUGAAAUCCCAGGGCUCAACCUUGGAAUUGCACCCGAUACUGGCAGGCUA